AGAAAGGAGAUCUUCUAUGAAAGUUCUGUAAGUGAAUUACAAUUGCGUAAGCGAAGUUGCUGCGAGUUCAGAUCUCCUAUGAAAGUUUACGUGAGGAAGUUGCUGAAACUGAAUUUGUAUUUUAUUCUU